GACUGAACUGUACCAAAAUAUACAUUUUUACAACCUUGAGGCUCAAAUGGUAAGUUUAAUUAUAGACAUUUAAUACACUAAAUUAUAUUUAAUUCCCUAAAUGUUUGAGCAAUUUCUCGGUAUAAGUGAUGAAAGUCUGCAAGAGGUGCAGUCAGUAAGAAACCUGGCUGCUGCACCAGACCCUGCGGAAACAUCUCAAGAGAUCUGUCUUUCUUCAUUCUCUUUGUCCGUCUCAGGUCUAGUGAGUUUCUGGAAUCAAGAAUAGGUUACCUGUCUCCAGAUGCUCUCCUGAAAGUUAAAAAAUAUUUUCAAAAAUCUUUGAAAAGUCCCUUAUCCAAACACACUUCAGAGUGAAUUCAUUCAGCAAAUGCCUUAAAAAAUAAUUCUUUCCGAAAACAGGGUAUCUCCUGAGAGUGACAUUUACAAAGAGCAGCAUGGGGCUUAUCAGAGUGGUGCAGAGACAAACUUGGCCACAACAGAAUGGCACUGGGUUAUGUAAAAGGAAGAAGGACCCAGUGAGUAAUGUUGAAGUCAGAUGGGGGAGCAGAGCAGAACACAGGGACUUAGGGCAGCUUUGUCUAAGGAGGCCUCGUGCUAGGGUUCCUCAAAGUGUAGCUCUUCACUGCUACUUGAAUAAAGGCACUCAUGUCUCAAUAAACGUCCCCUCCAAGCUCUCCUUUUGUGAAAGAGAUCUGUAAAUAAUGGCUUCGAUAUCUGUUAGGAAAUACGGUUUUCUCUCAGGCUGAAAUUCUAUACAAAAAGAUUUUUGUGGUCAUUACUGAUUUCACUCUUUAUAAAGGCUAAAUUUUAGGUCCCCCCCACCCCUCCCCGCCCAUGGCAAAGCAGUGAGCAGCAGCAACUCAGCUUCUUUCUCCAGGACAAAGUGUCCAGAGAGAGUGGCAAAGAAUCGCUUGGGGAGGAACUGAAGUGAGAGGAGGGAACUGACAGGAGAAGAUAACAGGAGUAGGAGAUACAGGAGAUACAGAAGGGACAAAUCACACCGCGGAGGAGAGACCCCAGCUGGGAGGCUAAGGGAAACUAACAACUCUUUUGCUUACAGAGAAUCGGAGAACUGCGUUGGGACAGAAAGAAUCACACUCAUAGGAAUCAGCAAGAAAGCGCAGGGCGCUGCUUCCAGAGCUGCUUCCGGCGUCAACAGCUGGUGGGUGACCUCGACCCGGGGCGCUGGCGGGGCCCCACUGCGGGAAGGGCCGAGUGUCCGAACCUGGGUCCCAGAGCAGCCCGCGGCUGCUUCGUGCUGCAAGUUCCCAGAGCGGAGGAGGGAAGGGCGGCCCUGGGAGACCGCCAGCAGCUGGAGAGCGGACUGGGCGUCCUGCCGAGGGCCAGGGGCUGGAGACCGCCCAGCUGCUCCUGCACCAGGGCCGGAAGCGCACCCCGGGGGGCUGUGCUCACACAGGCAGAUCGCCACCCUCAGCGCGGAAGACUUCCGGCGUGAGCAGCGACAAGGCCUGGCCUGAGCUCUGCUCCUUAGCUCUAGGCUGAGGAAGAGCCACGCGUCCCAACAAGCUAGGCUGCUUCUCCACCUUCCCCAUGGUGAGAUACAAACUGACAGACCAUCCUUAGCUUGGACGAGUGGGCAGAGAAGCGAUGCUGUCACCAGAGAAGAACACAUCAAACUGAAAAGAAUCAUGCAAAUUCUGGCCCCAGGAGCUCAAGGUCCAGUUUCUUUUGGCAAGGAGGGAAGAGAGCUCAGAAUGGCCAGGAGAUGAACCAGCAUGGGGAUUCCCUUGUCUGCGGCCUCUCCGCAAUCCUUACUGCUCUUCCCUACAAGCCUUUGCAUACCAGAAUGCUGGGAGAUAGGGACUUGAGGCAAAAAGAGCCCCACCACCCCCGGUUUUUUUUUGGUCCCAGGGAUCAGACUAGGGUCCUUGUGCUUGUGGGGCAGGCAGCGGCACCACUGAGCUAAAUCCCCGGCCCUGGAGCUAGCUUUUUAAAAAUCCUUUUCUUUUCACCAAAAUUUAUCUCACAUGUUUUUAUCUGGGGGAGUAAUGGGCAGUACAGACCUUAGCCUCCCACAACAAGAAUGCAAAUCUUCUUAAUAUGUUUUAAAUUCCUACUGACACUCUGCAGUAUGAAACCUUAUCCCUGCCAUCUACUUUUCUACUUGAAGAAAAAUUGGGAUGUAAAUUGAAAUAUAGGUAAAAGAUGAGAAUAUAUGAUUAGAAUUACCCCUUGCCAAAAAUUGGUGCUAGCUCAAGCCCCAGUAAGAUUUCUAUAGUUUUACAAUUACAGCUUGUUUAAACUUCUUUCCCAACUCUUCUAUUUCAGAUAUCCCUAAUGUCUGGAUAGGCAGACAUUUCAGUAGGUAUUUGUCUUUUUCCACUUUAAAAACUCAUUUGGAAGAACAUAUCUUGUUUCAUUAUUUUCCCUCCAAAUUAGGAUUUCAGCUACAUUAAAAGCUUUAGUUCCUUCUCCUUCUUCUAAGCAUUUUGUUAUACAUUAAAAUUAUAAUUUGCAGAAAUACUAUCUUUCGCUAAAAACAAAACCUAUAACAAAGAGAAUGAAGCAGAGUGAAACCAUGUUUCUUUUUAUUCCCACCAGGUUUAACACACUAUACUUAGUGUGCCUACACUAUUGCUUAAAAUAACUUCCAAAGGUUUUGAACCACUGAAAUUGGAGCAUUCUAAAAGAAAGUGAGCUGUCAGCGGGGGUGGGGGACCAUAUUAGAAAACCCAUCUUAGGUGAAUCCCUCUUUAGUAGUUAUCUAAUAGCCUCCUAGAUUAAAUAAGCACUUUCUUUUAUGCCUGAAUCACGUCUAUUACAUAAUUACUUUCUUUUCAAGCCAGUGAAAGAAACAGAAAGAAAAGCUAUAUAAAGAUUACAAUUAAUAGCGAUAGGCAGUUUUCCACAAAACAAAAUCUAUAUUGUGAGUUGUAUAAUCAGUACCUCAGCAACUUUAAUUUUCUCCUCUACAAUUAUGGCUAAGUAAAGUCAGAGAUAGGACUUCUUUAUCUUUUUUUUUCUUUUUAUAAAGAUAUCAUAUAUUAUGCAUUGUAGAAAUGACAAAAAUACAAAUAAACAACUAGAAGAAAAUAAAAACUACUUACAUGGCAGAAAUAGAUUUCAGAAUAUGCAUAAUUCCCUUCUCCCUUAUGGAAAAAAGCCCCAGCUUUUCUGACAGGUUCAGGGUCCCCUAGAUAGUGAUUAUUUCCCUGUCUCUCGUGAAGCUGGGAAUGAUCUUGUGAUUAAAUUCUGGUCAGUGAGGUUAGCUAGAAGAAAAGCAUACUUUUCCCUUCUCAUUCACUCUUUUUUGUGCCUCUUCCUUAAAGAGUCAUAGUUGUACAGUAGGAUAAAAGAAAUAAAUACAGGUAGAAAGUAGACAAAGAAAAUCCUAAUUUUACAGUUAUACUUUUGAGAACACUGAAGCUUCAUUCAGGAUAUAAAGUUAUCCAAGGCUACAAUGCUGUUUUUCUCUUCCAAGAAACUCACUCCUAAAUUCCUAAAAGUAUUCAAGAUACAAGAAGAUUAUAAAUUUGGCCUCAUUAUUUUUACCUAUAAAUGGAACCUGUGCAUUUUCUGUGAUACUGAGAUGGGAGACUGGACAUGACCUGUCCCCUGACGGAGAUCCAGAACACCGAGCAGAAUAACAAACCCUGCUCCCAGGACUAGAAAGCACUGUCUUCGAUUCUUCUUCUCCACCUGGUACAAAACUAAAUGGGCCUUUGGUAGGCUUAGAUCUGAUGUCAGGCCAAGUGAACUUCUGAUAUGACAACUGUCCCAAGUGCUUUGUUUGCAAUGGGAGAGAAGCAGUUUAGAAAGAGGAGAUACAACCGCUACUUGCCUCGAAAGUGCAAGGUCCCAAGUUCGAUCCCCAGUACCAAAACAAGAGCCCUCCCAUUAACCGUGUGGUCCUGUGAGCUUUCUCAGCUGGCUACUGACACUUUGCACAGUGUACUUUUUGGUCACUUCUCGGUGGCCUGUUCUCACUAUGCAGAAUGUAUUUCUAUUCCACCCUCAAUAAAUGGAGAGCCUCACUACCUUU